AACGAACGCUGGCGGCAGGCUUAACACAUGCAAGUCGAGCGCCCCGCAAGGGGAGCGGCAGACGAGUGAGUAACGCGUGGGAACGUACCCUUUGCUACGGAAUAGCUCCGGGAAGCUGGAAUUAAUACCGUAUGUGCCCUACGGGGGAAAGAUUUAUCGGCAAAGGAUCGGCCCGCGUUGGAUUAGCUAGUUGGUGGGGUAAUGGCCUACCAAGGCGACGAUCCAUAGCUGGUCUGAGAGGAUGAUCAGCCACAUUGGGACUGAGUCACGGCCCAAACUCCUACGGGAGGCAGCAGUGGGGAAUAUUGGACAAUGGGCGCAAGCCUGAUCCAGCCAUGCCGCGUGAGUGAUGAAGGCCUUAGGGUUGUAAAGCUCUUUCACCGGAGAAGAUAAUGACGGUAUCCGGAGAAGAAGCCCCGGCUAACUUCGUGCCAGCCGCCGCAGUAAUAC
rnacentral:rRNA from 1 species